rnacentral:lncRNA from 1 species
CGACGGGAAAAACCAUUUUUCAAUCUUUUAAGAACCAUAACUCCUGAACGGUAAAAGUCAAAAUCGUCAUUAUUGAACUUGACCUCCAUUUUGUUAUCAGUAACAGCAUAUUAAAAUUUCGGAAGCUUUGGUAGAACAGUUCAUGCAUAAAUGCACGGACACGACUGGAAACUCCAUUUUUCAAUCUUUCAAGAACCAUAACUCCUGAACGGUAAAAGUCAAAUUCGUCAUUAUUGAACUUGACCUCCAUUCUUUCAUUAGUAACAACAUAUUAAAAUUUGGGAAGCUUUGGUAGAACAGUUCAUGCGUAAAUGCACGGACAACUCCAUUUUUCAAUCUUUCAAGAACCAUAACUCCUGAACGGUAAAAGUCAAAAUCACCAUUAUUGAACUUGACCUUCAUUUAGUUGUCAGUAACAACAUAUUAAAAUUUUAAAAGCUUUGGUUGAACGGUUCAUGAGUUAAUGCACGGACAACAUUUGAUUGCCGCCCACCCGCCCGCCGCCCGCCCGCCCGCCCGCCGUACAUCCCCAAUCAAUAACCGACAUUUUUGUCACAAAAAUCCGGUUAAAAAAUCCAUAUAACUGUGAUUUUCAAUAAUUUAUCAAAGUCCAAAGCCCAUAAUUUCAGCGAAAAUUAGCGGAGCGGAACGAAACUUAAGCUUAGCCUAUCACUCAUCAUGGUUAACUCACAUACCAAAAAUCAGCCCAAUAUCUGAAGGCGUUUAGAAAAAAAGUCUGUAAAACUGUGAUUUUCAACAAUUUCUCAAAGUCCAAAGCCCGUAAUUUCGGCAAAAUUUAGUGGAGCGGAGCGGAACGAAACUUAAACUUGAUCUGUAAUUCCAUCUAAUUAACUCACAUAUAAAAAAUCAGCCCAAUAUCUGAAAGCGUUUAGAAAAAAAAUCUGUAUAACUGUGAUUUUCAACAAUUUCUCAAAGUCCAAAGCCCGUAAUUUCGGCAAAAAUUAGUGGAGCAGAACGAAACUUAAACUUGAUCUGUAACUCCAUCAUGGUUAACUCACAUACCAAAAAUCAGCCCAAUAUCUGAAAGCGUUUAGAAAAAAAAUCUGUAUAAUGGUUUGUUGCGGAAUGACGGAAUGACGGACAAGGGUAAAACUAUUUGGCACCAACAACUUUGUUGUGGGGCCAUAAAAAAACAGUUUGAUAAACUGAAACUCAGACAGAUCCCAGGAUUAAUAAAUGAGUAAUGUAGUUACAACAAACAUAUAAAUCUAGCCUGUGAUGAUACUACUACUAUUAGAAGUUUUAGUGGGUUAUCCCCUUUAAGUCGCAUGUUCACUUUUAAAAGUUACCUUUUGUAACCAAAUGUGACAAGUUUAUGUUUAACAAUAAUCAUGGGUUAAAGGAUGCAGUGCCAUUUAAGGAGAUGUCAAGUCUCAAGGUCGCAGGUUGGAUUUGACCAUGUUAGAGUCACAAAAUUUAUCACUUCCAUCAUUCAGGAUAACCAAUCAAACCAAUACAUGCCAGUCAUAUGAUAUAAUCGAUUGUCAUAUGAUAUAAUCGAUAUAAAACAAGUUUUUAUAUACACAACUUUAAUUUGGGGUAUGGCAUUAUGAGAUCUUUAAAAAUACAAAAUGAAUGCAAGUUACAAGGUUGGUUUUGGAUAUUAUUUUAUAUUAGCUGGCAUUCAUUGUAUAUCCUGAAACAUAACUAAAUACCUAGAUUACUGUGUGUCUUAGCCUUCUAUAAGAAUAUAAUGGUUAUACUAGAGAGUCCUAAAAAAACUAUCUUUAACUUGCAGCUCAAUCACAUGGUACCUCAUAAUUUGCAGAAGAAACCCUCCAAGGGGCAUAAGCUGCUAAAAUAUAUGCUAACUGAAUUUAUUCAGCUCUUAAAAUUGAAUUGACAUUUACUUUAACGUAUUUCAAAACUACAAACGUUCUAAAGAAAACAAUACACAAUGUCUGGAAUUGUUAUAUAAACAUUUUAACCAUCUAAUUAACUUUUGACUAGAGUGGCUAGACCUAUGAAAACUGUCAAUAGCAUAAUUAAUAUAAACAGAUAAGUAAACAUAAUUCAUACAAAUACACAAAUAAGCACAUACAACAAUAUAAGGUCGAUUUUUUUCAUUGUGUUUCUCUCGAGGGAGAUUUUUCCCCAAGUUUAUAUAUAAAAAACAAACAAAUUAAAUAUAAAUCAUUUACUCAUAACUUGUAUCAGACUUAUUUUUUUCCUGUGGAAUGAAAUCUGUUUUCCUGAUGCUACCUUCUCCAGUACAAAUUUUCAGGUGAUUUUCAUUUCAAUCCCUGGAUAUACAUGAAUAUCAAUAUGGAUUAAAAUGAAUUUGAAUUAUUGACUUGCCAGUCAAUAUUACAUACAUGAUGUUUUGAGCUUAUUUUGACAAAAUUGAACCAAACUGUAAACUAUUAGAAUAUCUUGCUAAUACAAAUUUUUGAAUUAAAAAAUCUCAAUUCUAAAUCAUAACUAAUGCCACUUAAAUACAAUUGUUUAAUAAAAAACUGACUAAAUCUCUCAUUAAAUUCCACUGGCAGCAUAAAACGACAAAAGCCUAAAAAAGUACAAAUGUUUGUCUUCUUUUACAUUUGAAGACCAGAAAAUAUUUUUCGUUGAUACAUGAACAAAAUUGUACUCUACAUUAAAGUUUUUAUUGUCUUAUUGUGUGAUUAUAUUCCUCUACUAAAACAUCACCAUAAAUAAUACUGAUGAUAAAGCCACACUGUCUGGUCUUAGAUUCCUGCUAAUAUCUCAAAUUAAACAACAACAUUUAUUUCUAUAACUAUAAAUUAUGAUGCAGUAAGCAGUGAAUGCAUGAAUUCAUUUCAUUUGAAAAAAAAUGGAAAACAUGAUUUUUAAUGUUGAGGAAAAAAAUGAAUUGAAAAAGUGACUUUGUGAAUUAUUUAUUGUAUUGUUUAUGGUUUGCGUGAUACAAAACAGUCUACAGGUGCACAACAAGAUUCAUUCAAAGAGACACACAAUCAAUUAUUAGAUAACUUUUAAACCCUACGAAAAACAGACCAAGUUACAACAUAAGCCAUUAGAAUUUGUAUUUGAAACCCUUUAAGAUUUGUUUUUGAGGAAAUGUUUUGUUUUACAAGUUUGUUGUUUGUAAAUAAAAAUAAAUGAAUGAUUUUUAAAUCUCGGUUUUACCAGUCCCAAAUAAAAUUAACCAAAAAACAAAAAAUGUAUAAAAAUGUACUUCUUACGAACAUGUUUUUCUUUAAUGAUGGCUCAACACAUGUGUUAAAUAAUAAUAUAGCUGCACAGUAUACUUAUUUAUAGUUUUGGUUGUCAUGUUAUUUUCAAAAUAAUUAAUACAAUAAAACAUAAAUAUAUAUUAAUUUCAAAUGAAUAUAAGUAAUUCUUUAAAAAUCAAUACUGCUCAGUAAAAACCAAUUGAUUCUGGUAGCUAUACCACUGAUUUGCUAAGUUCUGCAUGAGCAAUUUCCAUUUCAACACAUGAAAACAAUGAUUUCCUUGAAUACUCUUGAUUCUCCUCCCUAUCUUUUGUCAAAGCAGAUGGUUAUAGAUGACUUUAUAUUACGUUAUAUGGGCAUUAUUGGGGCAUUAAAUCUACACCAUUACAUUCAGCAAAGGCAUGAAAAUACUAAUUACAUUAUAAUUAUUCUUUGACAUUCCCCAUUUCCAUUCUCAUUUUAUUACAUACUUUUGACAUGAAAUGUUUACCAAUCCCAAGUGUAGACUGGUUCUUAAAAAAAAAUGGAAUAUUUAUCUGGCAGUGGAAAUGAUAUGCAUCAGAGGUAUUAAAAAAAUAAUUAACAAUUAACAAACAAAUUAUUUAAUAUGUGAACUGUUUUUUUGUGUAAAGUAGCACUAGUCAUACAAAAAUACCACCAGGGGAACUAAUUGUCUUGUUGAAUGAAACGAUUGACAUGUGGUAAGUUUUAUGUUUAAAUUUUCAUAUGAUUUACAUCCUUAAAACAAAAUAACAAAGUAAAUGAUGACAGUGGUCAUAUAUAUAAAGCAUUGAGCAUUGGAAAAAAAAUUGGAUUCAUGUUUUUGCUCUUUGGUCAGGUUGCUGCCUUUUGACAAAUUCCCCAUUUCCAUUCUCAAUUCUAUUCUAAGUUUUGUUAAAUAUCCUUUAACUCAAAUUAAGGUAUAACAGGGUCAAGUCAAGGAUUUUCCGAUUAAAGAAGAUUUGUUAUUAACUGUAAAGAAUUUUACAAAAAAAACCACCAAAAACCUAUAAAUGUAUAACCUUUACUAUCAAUUUCUACGUUGAGAAUACCCCAGAAAUUAAAAAAAUAUACAAAGCCCUCUGCUUAAAUUUGAGAGCAUAAAUUAUUAUACAAUGUCUAUUUUUAUUAGGUAGACAUUUUAACAUUAAAAGCAAAUAGUAACCAGAUGCUCCGCAAGGCGCAGCUUUAUACGACCGCAAAGGUUGAACCCUGAACAGUUGGGGCAAGUAUGGACACAACAUUCAAGAUGGAUUCAGCUCGAAAUUUGGAUUGUGAUUAAAUAGUUGACACAGCAUAGGUUUCUGACACAGAAUGAAUGUGGUCUUAUGAACUUAAAAAUUUUUUUUUUGCCUUUGAGCAAUUCACUAUGCUGUUGAAUAUUAAUCCUCUCAAAAAAUGUUUGAAGAAAUUUUCUUUUUAUUUAUGAAAUCUGAAAUGAGAAAAAAUUUAAACCCCCCCUUUUUUUCACAUCCCUGUUUCCCUUUUUCCAAAACUGAUAUCAAUUCAAAUUUCUAAUGGAGUUUGCAACAAUAACUACUCACUUAAAUACAUCAUAAAAUAUUAAAAUGUAAAAAAAGUGCUUGUUAUCACUGAAUGGUAAAGAUUGUUUUAAUUUAUCAGUUGGUAGUAAAAGUGAAUAUACAUUGUAUAUUGUAUAAAACAAUGAUUUAAGUUGAUUCAACUACUAUUCUGGACAAAGAAAGAUAACCCCAAUUGAAAAUUUCUUGCUAUUGCACAAUAUUGUGCAAUUAGAUAUUUCUUGCUAUUGCGCAAUACUGUGCAAUUGAAAAUACUUGCUAUUGCACAAUACUGUGCAAUUGAAG